CUGGCAUUUUUGUUACAUACUUAUUCUGUAAUUUUCUACGUAGAUAUAGUAAUAUUUUUUACAGAAAUACAGGGGAAACACUGAAAUACAAUGGGCACCCAUUUAAUUUGUACCUUUAAAGAUUAUAAAAAAGCAAAUGAAGUUAUGCACUUCUUUGAGGAACUGGAAAUUAGCUUACCAAGUUACAUACUAGAUAGUUUCGGUAUAUCAGGGUUUAACACUUGCAAAAUAACUCAGACUAAACACGCUACUGGACAUCACUGGAUUUAGUGAGUCACACAAAAGAUAUGCACAGAGAAGCCACAGAUCAGUUUGUGUCAUUUUGUCUUGUUGUCCUGUAAUUUCAGGCUAUUGGAAGACGACUUUUGUUUCUGGUAACUGCAAAGAUGAUCCUUCAUAAUUACUUACUAAGUUUCUGGGUUUUUUACCAGUGUAGCAUUUCUGGACCAUCAAUGCAAAUUAAUAAUUUAUAUGCAUUAAUAAUUUACACUAGGGAGUCUGAUGGAGUAACAGAGGCUGGAAGCCAUGGGAUUAAAGGGAAGUAGGAUCUUCCCUGUAGUAACUGAAGUCACCAGGCUCACGAAGAGAGACUAAAAGAAGAUGUAUGGGGACUCUCCUGUCUUUGUGGAGAAGAGCAAUGUGCUCUACGAGGCUGGGUGAACAACCUACCCCAUCAGCACAGGAAAACCUGGGCUGGGAAGAGAAAUCCAAGCAGAAAAUCGCUUCAACCAUGGCUGGCCUCAGAAGGUUAAUCACAGAGGCACAGGAGAAAUAUGGGCAAGAUCAAGUGGAAACCUGAGGAGGUGGAUGCUGAAUACACAGAUAAAAUCUCUGUAUUGCACGUAAUCUUGUCUUUUCUCUGAUUUGCCUGUGAGUCAUGUUGCAGCCUGGGAAUCAUCUAUGCCCCAUGGAAGUGCUCAUGUUCAGCUGUUUUGUGUAAUUCAUCCCUAACUGUCCAUGUUAUUUAGCUUGUAGUUUUGUAUAAGACCAAUUUAAAAAUAAACAUAAGCCUUGCAGAGACCUA